CUCAGAUUGAACGCUGGCGGCAGGCCUAACACAUGCAAGUCGAGCGGCAGCACGGGUACUUGUACCUGGUGGCGAGCGGCGGACGGGUGAGUAAUGCCUAGGAAUCUGCCUGGUAGUGGGGGAUAACGCUCGGAAACGGACGCUAAUACCGCAUACGUCCUACGGGAGAAAGCAGGGGACCUUCGGGCCUUGCGCUAUCAGAUGAGCCUAGGUCGGAUUAGCUAGUUGGUGAGGUAAUGGCUCACCAAGGCGACGAUCCGUAACUGGUCUGAGAGGAUGAUCAGUCACACUGGAACUGAGACACGGUCCAGACUCCUACGGGAGGCAGCAGUGGGGAAUAUUGGACAAUGGGCGAAAGCCUGAUCCAGCCAUGCCGCGUGUGUGAAGAAGGUCUUCGGAUUGUAAAGCACUUUAAGUUGGGAGGAAGGGCAUUUACCUAAUACGUAAGUGUUUUGACGUUACCGACAGAAUAAGCACCGGCUAACUCUGUGCCAGCAGCCGCGGUAAUACAGAGGGUGCAAGCGUUAAUCGGAAUUACUGGGCGUAAAGCGCGCGUAGGUGGUUUGUUAAGUUGGAUGUGAAAUCCCCGGGCUCAACCUGGGAACUGCAUUCAAAACUGACAAGCUAGAGUAUGGUAGAGGGUGGUGGAAUUUCCUGUGUAGCGGUGAAAUGCGUAGAUAUAGGAAGGAAC
rnacentral:rRNA from 1 species